rnacentral:tRNA from 1 species
GUUUAUUUAGUUUAAUUUAAAAUUUUGAUUUGUGAAGUCAAAGAUCUUUUAGGGGAUAAGCU